AUCCUUUUAAUAUAAAAAGUAUUUUUAACUUCCAAUUAAAUAGUCCUUCAUAAGGAAAGGGUA
rnacentral:tRNA from 1 species